rnacentral:rRNA from 1 species
CAAUAGCGUAUAUUAAAGUUGUUGUGGUUAAAAAGCUCGUAGUUGGAUUUCUGCCGAGGGCGACCGGUCCGCCCUCUGGGUGAGUAUCUGGCUCGGCCUGGGCAUUUUCUCGGGGAGCGUAGCUGCAGCAUGGAAUAAUAAGGUAGGGCCUCCAUUCUAUUUUGUUGGCUUCUAGAGCUGAGGUAAUGAUUAAUAGGGAUAGUCGGGGCAUUCGUAUUUUAUUGUCCUAGGUGAAGUUCUUGGAUUUGUUAAAGACGAACUACUGCGAAAGCGUUUGCCAAUGAUGUCGNCAUUG